CCGGACCCCUACACUACAGUGCAGGUAACUUUUAUUCAUCUUCAACUCAACAUCCAUUGAGCACCUUCCAUGAGCAAGGAACUGAGCUAGCUGCUGCAGGAUACAUAAUAAUGAAUAAGAUGUGGCACUUUGCUUUACAGGGCUAAAAGUCUAGUGGCUGAGAUAGGUGUGGACAUAAAGAACUCUCUUUAAUGUGUAACCACAGGGAUGUCUGAAGUUUCUUAGCUUAUUACCUCUCUUUUUGUACUCAUUUUUCAACUUCUCUCUCCCUUAACAACACUUGUGCAUUUAUGCGUCAUCUUCCUUGCCUGACUUACUCCCUUGACACCAUUCCUACAUUCUUUCAUAUCAACUAUUCUUAUUACUCUAAUAGCUCUUUCCUCUCUCUUUUAAAUAAGCUUUCAGUACAUCCUUCUUGACUGGAGAAAAAACUUCCCUGUAGGCUUUUCUUUGAUUAUCUUUCAAGUCUGGUUUAUUUUCAUUUUCCUUCAAGUUGACUGUUAUUAACUUUUGGUAGAAUAACAUUCUCUAGAUUUUCCCCAGAAGAUAUUUAGUAUAUCUUAUUAGUAAAGUGGAAAGUCUGAGCCUAAUGUGUUGGUUUUUUUUUCCCUUGAACACAUAACAUAUUACUGAAGCUGGUUAAAAUUCUUAAUGGUGGACAUAGGCACACUGUUUUUUGAGACAAGAUCUCUCUCUGUUGCCUAGGCUAGAGUG